rnacentral:rRNA from 1 species
GUGGAUUAGAUACCCGGGUAGUCCACGCCGUAAACGAUGUUUACUCGUUGUUGGCGAUAAAGAGUCAGCGACUAAGGGAAACCGAUAAGUAAACCACCUGGGGAGUACGACCGCAAGGUUGAAACUCAAAGGAAUUGACGGGGGCCCGCACAAGCGGAGGAGCAUGUGGUUUAAUUCGAUGAUACGCGAGGAACCUUACCUGGACUUAAAUGGGAGAUGACUUAAUCAGAAAUGAUUAAUCUCUUCGGAGCAGCUUUCAAGGUGCUGCAUGGCUGUCGUCAGCU